CAUCCAUCCACCGCCAAGGGCUGCUUGUUCCACAGUAGUCUAACUGAUUCGGAGAAGUAUCAAGAACCCAGUCUUCUAAAAGCAGGCAAAGUACACUUCAUGGACUCUGUGUACUUAAGAGAGACUAUUUUAUUCAUGCGCCACCUCCCGGGGCUUGGCUCAGACAUUAUUGUUCUCUUUCAGGAAGCCAGGGUCUAAGUAAAUCUCAUUGUCUGCCGUGGUGCUUGCAGUAGGAUAGUCCAGCUCAGACUCUGCUGGGCUGCUCAGAACCUGUCUGGGGCUUUCCUAGUUCUCCCUGGUACCUCACCCACCCUGUCAGGAGGAUUUAGGCUCUGACUACAGAAUCUCAGAACAAAACAGGGGAAAGUUUUAUCUUGAGUCUCAAGGAUAGACAUGAAGAGAUCACAAACACCAUCAAAAGUAACAAUCUGUUUUUCUUUUCUUUUCCUAGGGAAACUUGUGGCCAUUUGUUUUUUAUAAGCUCCAUGUCACACGCUAAGUUUGACUUGAGGCCCAAUGAUCACUCGCUCUGCUGCUUCAGGGGGCUGGGUGUUGUUCUGUCUCAGUAGCCACUGACCCCACCUUACUGACCAACAGUGGAAAAUGGCAAAGAGGGCUGUUCAGGGAGAAGGUUGGUAUUUACCUUAAUGCUGGAUCCUGCAGUGCCUUUCAAAGGGCUGUAAAGAAGAUUCAUGCCCAAGAAUCUCCAUCAGGGCACUCAGCCAAGCUGGGCCUUAGCGCCCAUCAGAAUGAUACAAAGGACACAAACCAACAGGAUAUACUUCUGCCACUACGACUGAGGCAAACCUAAAUGACAUGUGAGUUACAGACUGUGUGGGAGAAGACAUGUUCCCUCUAAUAGUUCUUCUGUUCUGAUGCCCUCAGACAUCUGCUGAAGCCAUGCACAGUGCCUGAUGGCAUGGUGGGUCCGUUCACGUAUGGAGACCAGAAAGCGAAAGAGAGAAAGGACAUUUUUCAAGCUUUUAAUGUCAUUUAAAUAAAUGUUUAAAACUGCUGGUAAAUCUUGUGACUGGCCAUGGUCGCAGCGUUGUAACAGAGGUGUGCAGAGAAAUCAUAUUUGUGGGGCUGGAGAGGUAGCAUAGUUGGUAAAGCACUUGUUGUGUAAGUAUGAGGACCAAAUUCAAUCUCCAGCAACUGUGUACAAAACAAGAUGUGGUGGAGAGCAAGAUGUGGUGGAG
rnacentral:lncRNA from 1 species